rnacentral:misc_RNA from 1 species
GAUGAAGAACGUAGCGAAAUGCGAUAAGUAGUGUGAAUUGCAGAAUUCAGUGAAUCAUCGAAUCUUUGAACGCACAUUGCGCCCUCUGGUAUUCCUCAGGGCAUGCCUGUUCGAGCGUCAUCUAACCCCUCAAGCAGCGCUUGGUGUUGGGCGCUUGUCCCCCCCCGCUCUGGCGGGGACUCGCCUCGAAAACAUUGGCGGCCCGUGUAUUGGCUUCGAGCGCAGCACAAUUGCCCUCGUCCCCUCUCCGCGCGGGCGCUCCAGCAAGCGACACACCCACGUUUUGACCUCGGAUCAGGUAGGGAUACCCGCUGAACUUAAGCAUAUCAAUAAGCGGAGGA